rnacentral:lncRNA from 1 species
AUCGUUCCAAACAUAAUGGGCUUGGAGUAAUGGAGAACUCCAAGGGCAGGAGGUAACCAUUAAAGAGGACCAUCAUGUAGUGUGAGGAGUCAACAUUUCACACUAGAAAGCCCUUGGUUCAAGUUUUGUCUCUGCCACCUACAGAUUUUGUAACCCUGACACCAUGGAAAACCCACACACAAGUGAAGCCCCGACCCACCUCCCAAGUGCCCAUCUGAGCACCCCUCGUGGACUCUGAGCAGGGGGUUGCCAUCACCAACUCCAAGUCUUGCAGCCCCUCUUCCCUUCAGUCUGGCUGCCACCUUCUUCAUUGCCCUGGAAAAAAAUAAUGAAGUUUCACCAUUUAAAGGGUUUCAGUGCAGCUUGCUAUGGGAACACUGGAGAGUAACACAAAUGGCCAAUUGUCCUAAUAGCCACCAUGGAUUGGAUGGAUGCUAACAACAGGCUCACAGUUCUCCUUCUGUUGCCUCCUUUUAUCCACAUGAGAAUCAAACAAGACUACUGAUUAAAUGAAGCCUUUGAUGAAGUGCAUGCAGUUUGUAGCUUGAUUCAUGGGAAUACUCAUCACAGACUGAAAGUGUAACCCAGGGUCUCUGGGUUUUUGGGAACGCGCUGUGUAAAAGUAUCUACUUGUAACUGUUACUCCCUGAGUUGUUGUUGUUUUAGAAAGUUCCAAGAAGAAGCUUAGCCUUGGAAAAAACAAAAACUGGUUGAAUCCAGAAGUGGAGAUGAAUUUUGGCCAACGCUCCUCACUGCCACACUAAAAACCCUGCUCAGAGAGGAGCUUAUUCACCAUGUUCUAUUCAUGCAAUGUGUGUGGAAACAUGAUCUACGACAGCAUGCGUGCUGCCUUCACCCUACCUCUACAUACAAUGACUCAUUUAACCUGCUGAAUAAAAGCCCUGUUUUCACCUUUGCUGGGGGAGGUGCCGCUUUGGGAACUAUUCGCAGUGUCCUCUUCACUUUUUGCAAGUAAUAGAAUACCCUUGUUAAAUCC